AUGAACGCUGGCGGCGUGCCUAACACAUGCAAGUCGAGCGAGAAGGUUUGGAGUAACUCUUCGGAGGAGCAAAGAACUAGACAGCGGCGGACGGGUGAGUAACGCGUGGGUAACCUGCCUUAUACUGGGGGAUAACAUUCUGAAAAGGAUGCUAAUACCGCAUAAGCGCACAGUGUCGCAUGACACAGUGUGAAAAAACUCCGGUGGUAUAAGAUGGACCCGCGUCUGAUUAGCUAGUUGGUGAGAUAAUAGCUCACCAAGGCAACGAUCAGUAGCCGACCUGAGAGGGUGAUCGGCCACAUUGGGACUGAGACACGGCCCAAACUCCUACGGGAGGCAGCAGUGGGAAUAUUGCACAAUGGG
rnacentral:rRNA from 1 species